AAACCCUACGUAGGUUUCAUUCCCUCCCCAUCCUCAGCCGCCGCACGCACGCUCUCGCUCCUCUUGUCCACUCCCGCAGUGCGCGGCCACCGUCGCGCGCGCGAGCGCUACCGUGCGUCUGCGCCGGACAUCAAACGAAGCCCCCAGCCGAAGGCUUCUGCUCCUUCGCGUGCAGGCGUGCAGCAUGCCCCCUGUGCUCCCAGCGCCAACUCAGGAGACCAGGAGUGAUUGGGCGUCUGCUGCUCGUACUUUGGUCUGCAGGGAAGAUGAUCUUGCGUCUCCAGUUUCUCAACCUGAUUGGGGACAACGGAAGGUGGCAUGAAGGUUAAAGCUGAUACUGAUGAGUCCUCACCUGCUGCUAUGCUUGCCUCACAGGAUCUUGCACAGAGAUGCAAGGAGCUUGGAAUUACUACAUUGCAUAUUAAACUCCAUGCUACUGGUGGAAACAAGACCAAAACCCCUGGCCCUGAAAUAUUUUUACACUAUAGUUUUCAUCAUGUAGAGUGUAAAAAAAUAUAUAGUAUAAUUUUCUACGCCACCAAAUUUGACAAGAAACAGAAUGUCUUCGAGUGAUCUAAGAAAUAGAAUGUCUUUGAGCAAUCUAAUUUUUUUU